GGGGAAUAUUGCACAAUGGGGGAAACCCUGAUGCAGCGACGCCGCGUGAAGGAAGAAGUAUUUCGGUAUGUAAACUUCUAUCAGCAGGGAAGAAGAUGAUGGUACCUGAGUAAGAAGCACCGGCUAAAUACGUGCCAGCAGCCGCGGUAAUACGUAUGGUGCAAGCGUUAUCCGGAUUUACUGGGUGUAAAGGGAGCGUAGACGGAUAGGCAAGUCUGGAUGUGAAAACCCAGGGCUCAACCUUGGGACUGCUUUGGAAACUGCAGAUCUGGAGUGCCGGAGAGGUAAGCGGAAUUCCUAGUGUAGCGGUGAAAUGCGUAGAUAUUAGGAGGAACACCAGUGGCGAAGGCGGCUUACUGGACGGUGACUGACGUUGAGGCUCGAAAGCGUGGGGAGCAAACAGGAUUAGAUACCCUGGUAGUCCACGCCGUAAACGAUGACUACUAGGUGUCGGGUGUCAAAGC
rnacentral:rRNA from 1 species